rnacentral:rRNA from 1 species
UUUCUCAAUGGGGGAAACCCUGAGGGAGCGACGCCGCGUGGAGGAUGAAGGUCUUCGGGUUGUAAACUCCUGUCAUUUGAGAACAAAUUGGACGCAGUAACUACGCGUCCAUUGAUAGUAUCAGAAGAGGAAGGGACGGCUAACUCUGUGCCAGCAGCCGCGGUAAUACAGAGGUCCCAAGCGUUGUUCGGAUUCAUUGGGCGUAAAGGGUGCGUAGGUGGCGCCGUAAGUGGGGUGUGAAAUUUCGGAGCUUAACUCCGAAACUGCAUUCCAUACUACGGUGCUUGAGGACUGGAGAGGAGACUGGAAUUCAUGGUGUAGCAGUGAAAUGCGUAGAGAUCAUGAGGAAGACCAGUGGCGAAGGCGGGUCUCUGGACAGUUCCUGACACUGAUGCACGAAGGCCAGGGGAGCAAACGGGAUUAGAUACCCCGGUAGUCCUGGCAGUAAACGGUGCACGUUUGGUGUGGGAGGAUUCGACCCCUUCUGCGCCGGAGCUAACGCGUUAAACGUGCCGCCUGGGGAGUACGGUCGCAAGAUUAAAACUCAAAGAAAUUGACGGGGGCCCGCACAAGCGGUGGAGUAUGUGGCUUAAUUCGAUGCAACGCGAAGAACCUUACCUGGCCUUGACAUGCAUCUCUAAGCGCGUGAAAGCGCGUGAGUCUCGAAAGAGACAAUUUGCACAGGUGCUGCAUGGCUGUCGUCAGCUCGUGUCGUGAGAUGUUGGGUUAAGUCCCGCAACGAGCGCAACCCCUGUGAACUGUUGCCACCGGCCCGCGAGGGUCGAGCACUCUGUUCAGACUGCCCUGUGAAACGGGGAGGAAGGUGGGGACGACGUCAAGUCAGUAUGGCCCUUACGGCCAGGGCUGCACACGUACUACAAUGCCCAGUACAGAACGAUCCGAGACCGCAAGGUGGAGGUAAUCUCUCAAAACUGGGCCCAGUUCGGAUUGGAGUCUGCAACUCGACUCCAUGAAGCCGGAAUCGCU